AUUGAACGCUGGCGGGAGGCCUAACACAUGAAAGUCGAACGAGUGGCGGACGGGUGAGUAAUGUCUGGGAAACUGCCCGAUGGAGGGGGAUAACUACUGGAAACGGUAGCUAAUACCGCAUACCACCAGAUGCGCCCAGAUGGGAUUAGCUAGUUGGUGGGGUAAAGGCCUACCAAGGCGACGAUCCGUAACUGGUCUGAGAGGAUGAACGUUCCAACUGAAACUGAGACACGUUCCAGACUCCUACGGGAGGCAUCAGUGGGGAAUAUUGGACAAUGGUCGGAAUCCUGAUCCAGCCAUGCCUCGUGUGUUACGAAGGUCUUCGGAUUGUAAAGCACUUUAAGUUGGUAGGCGUUACCAACAGAAUAAGCACCUGCUAACUUCGUGCCAGCCGCCGCGGUAAUAC
rnacentral:rRNA from 1 species